rnacentral:rRNA from 1 species
AACGAACGCUGGCGGCAGGCCUAACACAUGCAAGUCGAACGCUUCAGCAAUGAAGAGUGGGCAGACGGGUGAGUAACGCGUGGGAACCUUCCCAGUGGUACGGAAUAGCCCAGGGAAACUUGGGGUAAUACCGUAUAAGCCCUUCGGGGAAAGAUUUAUCGCCAUUGGAUGGGCCCGCGUCGGAUUAGCUUGUUGGUGAGGUAAAAGCUCACCAAGGCGACGAUCCGUAGCUGGUCUGAGAGGAUGAUCAGCCACACUGGGACUGAGACACGGCCCAGACUCCUACGGGAGGCAGCAGUGGGGAAUAUUGGACAAUGGGCGCAAGCCUGAUCCAGCCAUGCCGCGUGAGUGACGAAGGCCUUAGGGUUGUAAAGCUCUUUUGGCGGGGACGAUAAUGACGGUACCCGCAGAAUAAGCUCCGGCUAACUUCGUG